GGCAAAUCAACAGUACCUUUUCUCUUCAUGGUCUACCCUCCCAGCCCUUGUAGAACACUCCUGCAGGUUCCCAUAGGUCUGUGUCCUGACAGUUAAUUUAUCUUAUUUAUUUAUUAGAUGUAUGCAUAUGCCAUCCUUCCUAACAAAGGCUCAGAUAAGCUUAAAAUAGAAAAUAUGAAUUAAUUAAAAACGGAAGAAUGGCAAGAGUCCCAAAACAGCUUAAAAGUGAACCAGAACAUUAAAAUAAAACACAGACCCCAUAAACAACAUCUCAACUUAGUUUUGUUCAAUUAAUCAGUGAGUGCUGCCCAAACAAGGAGGUCUUUCAGUGCUUUUGAAAGAUAUCCAGGCUUUGGCACCUGCAAGCCUCAAAAGGAACGGAAGAAGCUCCAGUGCUGAGGAGCGAACACUGAGAAUGAUCUCAUAUGUGUUUUCCUCAAGUGGACUUAAAAACUGAUGGUACUUGUAGAAGGUUGCUCUCAGUUGACCUUAGGGAUCAUAAAGGGACAUAUAGAAGAAGGUGGACCCUUAAGUAUGUAGGACCCAGACCAUUUAGGUCUGUAUAGAUCAAAACCAGCACCUUGAAUUGCACCUUGAAAGCUAUUUGGAGCCAGUGUAGACUCUGGAGAACUGAAAGUAUGUGCUCCUGCCAGCUCACCCCUGUCAGAAGGUGGGUGUCUACGUUCUGCACCAGCUGCAGCCCCCGAAUAGUCUUCAAGGGCAGCCCGACAUAGAGUGCACUGCAGUAGUCUAGUCUUCAGGUUAGAAAAGCAUGGAUGACAGUUACCAGAUCAGAGUCUGAAAUAAAAUGUUGCAGCUUUCUCACCAGAUGGAGUUGGUGAAAGGCACUCCUAGCCACAAUCACAACCUGAAGAUCCAAGGCCAAAAACCUGAGUGAUGGGGAGACUGAAACCUAUCAGUGAUAUGGAUCCCAGUUGUCAUCCCUCCUCCACCCCCCAGUCAUGUGGUAUGCCCACCAGCAUCAAAUCUGGUCUUGGCUGGAUUCAGUUUCAGUUGUUUCACUUGAGUCCAGUCCCCCGUCCCCAACUACAGCUAGGCCCUGCUAACCCAUUCUUUCCCCGUGUAGAAGCUAAUCAGAGAAACUGAGACUAUAAUCUGGCAUGUGUGCCCCCUUACCUCGGCGGCGGAGGCAGCAGGUGGUGAACGGCAGCGGCAGCAGCCGAGGAGACAGUGGAGGGGGCAGCAACAGCUGAUCCCCCCAAAGGUAAGUGGGGCAGCUGAGGCAGAUCCGAAGGGGAAGCCCUUCGGAGCCCUCUUAGCUCGCCCAACAGGGAGCUGCGCUCCUGAGCCGUGUGCGCGAACAGUGCACGGAAACAGGCACGCUCUGUAAGGGCGCGCUGGCAUUUGCACUGGUGUUUGCAUAAGGUGGGCAUGAGGUAGCAGCCCAGAAGGGCACCUCCAACAAAUGAGAGCAGUAGACGCAGCUCUGCAGACAUGGUGCAGAUGCGGAGUACCGCUGCCAGGGGCCUCGGCCUGGCGCUGCCGCCUGCCAUGGGCUCUUCUGAGGCCUCCACUCAGACAGAGCUCAUGGCGGGGUCGGCAGCCCCUCUCCCCCCUGUCUGUGGGGGGGGCUCGGUAGGGCCCUGGGGGGUGGGGCUUGGUGGUCCUCUUCCCUGUCCCUUCUGUGCCCAACUUGGGGCCCUGGAGGAGCAGGUGAGGGAGCUCCAGGCUGAGGUGGAUCAGGGAUGCAGAGGAUGAAAUUGAUGCCUAUCUCUGUUCUCUGCAGGCCCAGUCGCCCACUGUACAGCCCCCACAGGAGACGCAUCCAACGCAGGAGUGGUAGAAGGUGUCCAGAUCCAGAGCUGCUUGGCCUAGAGUGGUGGAAGCUCCUCAGGUACACCUGGGGAACAGGUUUGAGGCCCUGGCAGCUGUGACAGAGAAAGACAGAGCAAAUGCCUCCAGCGGGGACAAUGCCACUCCCCACGCAACAUGGAAUGGGCAGAGAACAAACACCAGCAGGAAGAAACACCGGGUCCUCGUUGUCGGAGACUCCAUCUUACAAGGACUGGAAAGUCCCAUCUGCUGGCCUGACCCCAUGAUGCGGGAGGUCUGCUUCAUGCCUGGGACUCGGGUUCGGGACAUCACGGAGAGGAUCCCAGCCUACAUCCGACCUGCAGACCAGUACCCCAUGGUUGUCAUCCACGUGGGAAUGAAUGAUGAGGCCAGGGGCAACCCUAACUGCAUUAUGAAGGACUUUGAGGCUCUGGGGGCCAAGCUUAAGGAGACAGGGGUGCAGGUGGUAUUCUCCUCUCUUCUCCCGGUUGGCUGAUCUCGUACAGCGAGCUGUAAACUAGACUCGCAGGGGAAGGGGGCCACAAGAAGACGUGGAGACACCACCCAAGCAAGACAGGUGACACAUGCAAGGAGUGCCCAGGGACUGGGACUCCCCCACUGUGAUUCAAGACAGACUCAAGGGGAACGCCUCCAGACCUAAGGUUGAGGAGGACCAGGUUAGAGUGCUUCUGGAGGGGCUGGACAUGUUCAAAUCAGAAGAUCCAGAUGCUCUCCACCCCAAGGUGUUGAGGGAGCUAGCAGGGGUUAUUGCAGGACCCUUGGCAUGGCUUUAUGAGUGCUCGUGGUGCUCAGGCCAGGUGCCACAUGAUUGGAAGAUAGCCAACUUUAAAAAAGGGAGGAGGGAGGACCCGGGCAACUAUAGGCCCGUCAGUCUUACCUCAAUCCUGGGGAAACUCUUUGAGAAGAUCAUCAAGGAGCACAUCUGUGAUGGGCCAGCAUCAGGGGUGAUGCUCAA